rnacentral:tRNA from 1 species
GGAGAGGUGCCCGAGCGGUUGAAGGGGCGCGCCUGGAAAGCGCGUGUACGCAACCCGUACCCAGGGUUCAAAUCCCUGCCUCUCCG